UUAAGCCGUAUGCGGAGAAAUCUGCACGUACGGUUCUUAAGGAAGGAUGGCGUAGCAGUGUACCGUCCUUACCCAAU
rfam:Chthonomonas calidirosea T49 complete genome